GUAGGUGGCAAGCGUUGUCCGGAAUUAUUGGGGCGUAAAGCGCGCGCAGGUGGUUCUUUAAGUCUGAUGUGAAAGCCCCCGGGCUCAACCGGGGGAGGGUCAUUGGAAACUGGGGAUCUUGAGUGCAGGAGAGGAAAGUGGAAUUCCACGUGUAGCGGUGAAAUGCGUAGAUAUGUGGAGGAACACCAGUGGCGAAGGCGACUUUCUGGCCUGUAACUGACACUGAGGCGCGAAAGCGUGGGGAGCAAACAGGAUUAGAUACCCUGGUAGUCCACGCCGUAAACGAUGAGUGCUAAGUGUUGGGGGGUUUCCGCCCCUCAGUGCUGCAGCUAACGCAUUAAGCACUCCGCCUGGGGAGCACGGUCGCAAAGACUG
rnacentral:rRNA from 1 species